CGACUCUAGCCCGACUCUGACCCUCGGUGGAAACGUAGUCAUGUACAUCGUGCAUGAAGCGGAACGCACUCCUCAUUCCAACUCAUUGCACCAGUGUGCACUAGUUCAGGAGUGCAGCAAUAAAGAACAGACCCUUUGUUGCGCGCGCACAAUAACCGGCACUAUUUCAGUAAUGACCGAUAACGAAUAACCUAAAAAUACCAUAGCAUCUUAGAAUUUUAUAUAUCUUCUAAGCGUCGCAUAUCGUAGUUAAUGUGCAUAAUUUUAAUCAAUUGAAAAAUGAAAACAUGCAGUGUAUGUGGUUAUAAGCCGACUAAUGACAAAGAAAAUAUAUCUUUUCACACUUUUCCAAAGGAAGAAAAUAUCCGACAUGAAUGGAUUAAGGCAAUAGGCAAAAAAAAUUUUGUUCCUAAGAAAUUCAGCGUUGUAUGCAGUCAACAUUUCUUAAGUAAUUGUUUUUAUUAUCCUAUUGGCGGAGCGAAACAUCGCGUGCAAUUAAAAUCAGGAUCUGUACCAACUAUAAUUGGUGAACGUUUUUCCAGGAAAAAUGUUCAAAACAAAACAGAUAUGUCCUUAAAACAAAACUUGACUAGUAUCAAUAGUAAUAUUGAUAGCAUUGUUGAAGAAAACAAUGCUAUCAAUUAUAGUAAUAUUGACAGCGUUGUUGAAGAAAACAAUGCUAUCAAUAGUAAUAUUGACAUUGUUGAAGAAAAGAAUAUGAUAGUUAAGUUGGAGAGUAAAUGCUUCGAAGCAGACACAACUGAUUGUGAGUCAAACAUGGCCACAGAAAUAACAUCAAGUACGAAUUAUACUGCAGAUGAUACAAUGGAUAGUACAUGUCAGAUGAGAGCUGAAGAUACAUAUAAAGGACAUCCUGGAACUCCUAAGUGUAAACGGAACCGCUACGGAAACCAUAAUACAUAUAUCGGUGAUUGUAGUGAAACUGAUUUUCAAUCACCCCGUAAGGCUAAACGUAACUGGAAAAUUGCCAUGUCUCAUAUUAAAGAGCAACGUCGAAAAUUAGCAACAAUACGAAGACAAAAUAGUCGUUUAAGAAAAAAAGUAACAAACCUCGAAACUUUAAUAAAAAAUUUAAAAAGUAAAAAAUUGGUAUCAGAUGAUGCUGCAGGAGUCUGAUCUGAAAAGGCGUAUCCAGGUGUAUAAGAUCUAUGGGAUGAAAUGAUACAUAGGACAUUUCGAUGGUGUUUUCGAAUGCAGCCCUGAGACGAAGUGCCUCGUGUUUUGUUGAUGAGUCCAUCGUCUAGUUACUAAAACAUGCGCGUGAAAAAAAUUUACUUAAAAAAUCAUCUUGGUCAAAUCGGAACUCGGAUGACGGCGGAACGGGGAGCACUAUCGCCACAGUUAUUUCGUUUUACAUUUUUCUAAUGUGAAAGUACAACUAAUAUCAAAUUGUAAUCUAAAAAGAUGCUUCCUGGGUAGAAAAUAUGCUCAUUGCAAAAAGCAAUUAUUGAUUAUUUCGGAGCUACGUGAACGCGGUCGUGGCAACGCUGAAGCGCGCGGCAACUCACUCACACACACUAGUAGACGCGUGGCUCAUGAACGUGCGUCCGUUUAAAAAGCAAUGCGGAUU